rnacentral:rRNA from 1 species
GACGAACGCUGGCGGCGUGCCUAAUACAUGCAAGUAGAACGCUGAAGAGAGGAGCUUGCUCUUCUUGGAUGAGUUGCGAACGGGUGAGUAACGCGUAGGUAACCUGCCUUGUAGCGGGGGAUAACUAUUGGAAACGAUAGCUAAUACCGCAUAACAAUGGAUGACACAUGUCAUUUAUUUGAAAGGGGCAAUUGCUCCACUACAAGAUGGGCCUGCGUUGUAUUAGCUAGUAGGUGAGGUAAUGGCUCACCUAGGCGACGAUACAUAGCCGACCUGAGAGGGUGAUCGGCCACACUGGGACUGAGACACGGCCCAGACUCCUACGGGAGGCAGCAGUAGGGAAUCUUCGGCAAUGGGGGCAACCCUGACCGAGCAACGCCGCGUGAGUGAAGAAGGUUGUCGGAUCGUAAAGCUCUGUUGUAAGUCAAGAACGGGUGUGAGAGUGGAAAGUUCACACUGUGACGGUAGCUUACCAGAAAGGGACGGCUAACUACGUG